rnacentral:misc_RNA from 1 species
AUUUUGCCAAUUAGCUCCCUUGUCGCUUGCCGAGUCGAGUGCAGACUGCCCAGUCCCCGCAACAGCAGAAAAAAAAAAGCCAAUCUCUACCCUUCUCUUUUCAUUCCCUAAUCCUUCCUCCCCUCUGCUCCAUUCAAACUCCAUCAAUGGCGGACCAUGAUCUCUCCUCCCCGCUCCUGCCGCCUCAACCCUCCGAUUCCCCCCACCUAGUCCUCAUCGUCACUGAUAACGACUCCGGUCAGCGAUCCUCCUCAAUCCAAUCUCAUAAUCACCACCACCAAAACAACAGCGGCAGCUUUAACAACAAUCACAGUUCACAUCUAAAUCACAAUUCUCGUAACCCGUUCGAGUUUCUCGGAUCGGAUGGGUUGUCCGUGCCCGGAGUGUCCACAAUAGAUCCAUUUCUGAACAAUACGCCCGAUAUUGAAGGGGCUUAUGAGGUGUUGAAGAUAUUAGUUUGCUUGCCGAUUGCUGUGGCGCGAUUGGUGCUUUUUGGGGUUUGUUUGUUGGUAGGGUUUAUUGCUACCAAAUUAGCUCUCCAGGGAUGGAAGGAUAAGCAUAAUCCUAUGCCCAGAUGGCGCACUAGGUUAAUGUGGGUCACUAGGAUUUGUUCCCGUUUUAUUCUCUUCGCUUUCGGCUACCAGUGGAUAAAAAGAAAAGGAAAGCCUGCUCCUAGGGAUAUUGCUCCAAUUGUCGUAUCAAAUCAUGUAUCAUACAUCGACCCUAUCUUUUACUUUUAUGAAUUAUUUCCUACUAUUGUUGCAGCCGAGUCACAUGAUUCUAUACCGUUUGUUGGGACUAUUAUCAGAGCAAUGCAGGUAAUAUAUGUCAAUAGGUUCUCACAGUCAUCAAGGAAACAAGCGGUUAAUGAAAUAAAGGUAGAACGUUUCUACCUUCUUCUAAUCUCUACCUUUCUGAUUUACUAUUGCUGUUUGUACACAUUUCAUUCAAUUCUGAAAUGCUUUUUUUUUUUUAACAAAAUAUUCAAAUACAUGGAUCUUUUUGCCUUCUGAAUGUGUUGGAUUCAUCAUUGCACAUGUUUGUACUUCGAACCGUUCAUAGAAUUGCUUAAGAAAUUAUGUAUGGUCAUAUAGAGUUCUGGAACUGAUUUUACCAUGUACCAGUACUGUUUUUAUAUCCUGGAAUCUUAUGUUUACUUUGCAAGAUAAAAUUCAAAUAACUUUUAUCAAGUUAUAAGCCAUUUGAUACAGAAAUGUGCUUUCAAGGAUCUGAAUACAGAGAAAGGCUUCUUGCGAUAGAUUUCCUCGUGUGCUAUUGUUUCCAGAGGGAACAACAACUAAUGGCAAGGUCAUUAUUUCUUUCCAACUUGGUGCAUUCAUUCCUGGUUAUGCAAUCCAACCAGUGAUUGUCCGCUAUCCCCAUGUUCACUUUGACCAAUCAUGGGGGCAUAUUUCAUUGGCAAAGCUGAUGUUUAGGAUGUUCACGCAAUUUCACAAUUUCAUGGAGGUAGAGUACCUACCUAUAGUUCAGCCUAUUGACAAUUGUAAAGAAAAUCCUGCUCAUUUCGCUAAGAGGACUGGUCAUGCCAUUGCAACUGCUCUUAAUGUUGCACAAACAUUUCAUUCCUAUGGGGACUUGAUGCUUCUUAUGAAAGCAUGCCAGUCAAAGCAGGAGAAGCCCUCCAGUUACAUGGUUGAAAUGGCUAGGGUGGAAUCAUUAUUUCAUAUGAGUAGCUUGGAAGCUGUGGACUUCCUGGACAAAUUUCUCUCAAUGAAUCCUGACCCCAGUGGUCGUGUUAAAUUCCAUGACUUUUUGAGGGUUAUGAAACUAAGGAGUUGUACUCUUUCUGAAGAGAUAUUUGGGUUCAUUGAUGUGGAAAAGAAUGGAUCAAUCACAUUCAAGCAGUUCCUAUAUGGAUCGGCUCAUGUCAUGAAGCAACCAUUAUUCAGGCAAACCUGUGAACUAGCUUUUACCAAUUGCAGUGCUGGAGACAGUCAAAUUUCAAAAGAACAGGUAUGUUAUAAAUUGUUCUUUCCUUUAUCCCUACUCUUAUGUAAAUGAAUCCUGACUGACGUUCUAGGAUUCUAAUUGGUAUUUGGACCAGUUGGGAGAUAUCAUUAGACUUGCAAUCCCAGACUUGGAUGAUCAUGAGGUAAUUUAUCACUGCUACCCUGCAUUUGUUAGUCAAUGCACUGUAACCGGACAUCAUAUCCACCUACAGUCAAAAUUUUACAAAGGAACUUUGCUAUUGACAUCUGCAUAAAAUCUUCCACCUAUUUCAUCUUUAAUUUCUUCCCCUAUGGAAUUUAGAAGGAUGGGGAAGAAAAGAGCCAACUGUAACAUAUGAUGAAAUCUGUAUCUCAUUGAUUACUUGCAGAUCCACGCGCUCUUCAAAUUAUUUGAUACUGAUGGUGAUGGGAGAGUAAGCAAGGAUAACUUCAUGUCUUGCUUAAGAAAGAAUCCUCUGCUGAUACCACUUUUUUCACCUUGUUUGGUGUGGAAAGUGUCAUCAGAAGCUGGUGAUAGGAUGUUGGAGGAGAUUGUAUGAUUUAAUUAUUUCUGUAUUUGGAUGUGGGGUUGGGUUGUGCGUACAACUAAUACCGCUCUGAUGUUUUGGUUUUGUUUUGAAUUUGGGAGGAGACAGAGAGGGGGAAGAGUGUCAAAAGGGUAAUCUUUGUGCUACUCUUCUUACACAUGGUCAUGACAUAGUUUUGAUAAACAAGUUUGUCAUUCAAUUGUACUCGAGUAAUCAAAAUGUUAUUUUUAAAUGCACAGCCUGGAAAUGCAAUGCUUCUAUUUGGUUAGUUGAUUUUAUUUUGAUUGGUAUUUUUAGUUUGAGG